ACAAUGGAGAGUUUGAUCCUGGCUCAGGAUGAACGCUAGCUACAGGCUUAACACAUGCAAGUCGAGGGGAAACGGCAUUGAGUGCUUGCACUCUUUGGACGUCGACCGGCGCACGGGUGAGUAACGCGUAUCCAACCUUCCCAUUACUGUGGGAUAACCUGCCGAAAGGCAGACUAAUACCGCAUAGUCUUCGAUGACGGCAUCAGAUUUGAAGUAAAGAUUUAUCGGUAAUGGAUGGGGAUGCGUCUGAUUAGCUUGUUGGCGGGGUAACGGCCCACCAAGGCGACGAUCAGUAGGGGUUCUGAGAGGAAGGUCCCCCACAUUGGAACUGAGACACGGUCCAAACUCCUACGGGAGGCAGCAGUGAGGAAUAUUGGUCAAUGGACGGAAGUCUGAACCAGCCAAGUAGCGUGCAGGAUGACGGCCCUAUGGGUUGUAAACUGCUUUUGUAUGGGGAUAAAGUUAGGGACGUGUCCCUAUUUGCAGGUACCAUACGAAUAAGGACCGGCUAAUUC
rnacentral:rRNA from 1 species